CCUACGGGAGGCAGCAGUGGGGAAUAUUGCACAAUGGGGGAAACCCUGAUGCAGCGACGCCGCGUGAGUGAAGAAGGAUUUCGGUACGUAAAGCUCUAUCAGCAGGGAAGAAAAAAAGUCCUUUGGACUUUGGACGGUACCUGACCAAGAAGCCCCGGCUAACUACGUGCCAGCAGCCGCGGUAAUAAGUAGGGGGCAAGCGUUAUCCGGAUUUAAUGGGGGUAAAGGGAGCGUAGACGGCAGCACAAGCAUGGAGUGAAAUGCCGGGGCCCAACCCCGGAACUGCUUUGGAAACUGUGCAGCUGGAGUGCAGGAGAGGUAAGCGGAAUGCCUAGUGUAGCGGUGAAAUGCGUAGAUAUUAGGAGGAACACCAGUGGCGAAGGCGGCUUACUGGACUGUAACUGACGUUGAGGCUCGAAAGCGUGGGGAGCAAACAGGAUUAGAUACCCGAGUAGUC
rnacentral:rRNA from 1 species